rnacentral:rRNA from 1 species
UUGAAGAGUUUGAUCAUGGCUCAGAUUGAACGCUGGCGGCAGGCCUAACACAUGCAAGUCGAACGGUAACAGGAAGCAGCUUGCUGCUUCGCUGACGAGUGGCGGACGGGUGAGUAAUGUCUGGGAAACUGCCUGAUGGAGGGGGAUAACUACUGGAAACGGUAGCUAAUACCGCAUAACGUCGCAAGACCAAAGAGGGGGACCUUCGGGCCUCUUGCCAUCAGAUGUGCCCAGAUGGGAUUAGCUUGUUGGUGGGGUAACGGCUCACCAAGGCGACGAUCCCUAGCUGGUCUGAGAGGAUGACCAGCCACACUGGAACUGAGACACGGUCCAGACUCCUACGGGAGGCAGCAGUGGGGAAUAUUGCACAAUGGGCGCAAGCCUGAUGCAGCCAUGCCGCGUGUAUGAAGAAGGCCUUCGGGUUGUAAAGUACUUUCAGCGGGGAGGAAGGGAGUAAAGUUAAUACCUUUGCUCAUUGACGUUACCCGCAGAAGAAGCACCGGCUAACUCCGUGCCAGCAGCCGCGGUAAUACGGAGGGUGCAAGCGUUAAUCGGAAUUACUGGGCGUAAAGCGCACGCAGGCGGUUUGUUAAGUCAGAUGUGAAAUCCCCGGGCUCAACCUGGGAACUGCAUCUGAUACUGGCAAGCUUGAGUCUCGUAGAGGGGGGUAGAAUUCCAGGUGUAGCGGUGAAAUGCGUAGAGAUCUGGAGGAAUACCGGUGGCGAAGGCGGCCCCCUGGACGAAGACUGACGCUCAGGUGCGAAAGCGUGGGGAGCAAACAGGAUUAGAUACCCUGGUAGUCCACGCCGUAAACGAUGUCGACUUGGAGGUUGUGCCCUUGAGGCGUGGCUUCCGGAGCUAACGCGUUAAGUCGACCGCCUGGGGAGUACGGCCGCAAGGUUAAAACUCAAAUGAAUUGACGGGGGCCCGCACAAGCGGUGGAGCAUGUGGUUUAAUUCGAUGCAACGCGAAGAACCUUACCUGGUCUUGACAUCCACAGAACUUUCCAGAGAUGGAUUGGUGCCUUCGGGAACUGUGAGACAGGUGCUGCAUGGCUGUCGUCAGCUCGUGUUGUGAAAUGUUGGGUUAAGUCCCGCAACGAGCGCAACCCUUAUCCUUUGUUGCCAGCGGUCCGGCCGGGAACUCAAAGGAGACUGCCAGUGAUAAACUGGAGGAAGGUGGGGAUGACGUCAAGUCAUCAUGGCCCUUACGACCAGGGCUACACACGUGCUACAAUGGCGCAUACAAAGAGAAGCGACCUCGCGAGAGCAAGCGGACCUCAUAAAGUGCGUCGUAGUCCGGAUUGGAGUCUGCAACUCGACUCCAUGAAGUCGGAAUCGCUAGUAAUCGUGGAUCAGAAUGCCACGGUGAAUACGUUCCCGGGCCUUGUACACACCGCCCGUCACACCAUGGGAGUGGGUUGCAAAAGAAGUAGGUAGCUUAACCUUCGGGAGGGCGCUUACCACUUUGUGAUUCAUGACUGGGGUGAAGUCGUAACAAGGUAACCGUAGGGGAACCUGCGGUUGGAUCACCUCCUU